rnacentral:rRNA from 1 species
UACGUAGGGUGCGAGCGUUGUCCGGAAUUAUUGGGCGUAAAGAGCUCGUAGGCGGCCCUGUCGCGUCGGAUGUGAAAGCCCGGGGCUUAACCCCGGGUCCGCAUUCGAUACGGGGCAGGCUAGAGUGUGGUAGGGGAGAUCGGAAUUCCUGGUGUAGCGGUGAAAUGCGCAGAUAUCAGGAGGAACACCGGUGGCGAAGGCGGAUCUCUGGGCCAUUACUGACGCUGAGGAGCGAAAGCAUGGGGAGCGAACAGG